rnacentral:rRNA from 1 species
UACGGGGGGGGCAAGCGUUGUUCGGAAUUACUGGGCGUAAAGCGUGCGCAGGCGGUUGUGCAAGACAGAUGUGAAAUCCCCGGGCUCAACCUGGGAACUGCAUUUGUGACUGCAUCGCUGGAGUGCGGCAGAGGGGGAUGGAAUUCCGGCGUGUAGCAGUGAAAUGCGUAGAUAUCAGGAGGAAUACCGAUGGCGAAGGCAGGUCUCUGGGCUGAAACUGACGCUCAUGCACGAAAGCGUGGGGA